rnacentral:rRNA from 1 species
AUUGAACGCUGGUGGCAUGCCUUACACAUGCAAGUCGAACGGCAGCACGGGGCAACCUGGUGGCGAGUGGCGAACGGGUGAGUAAUGCAUCGGAACGUACCUUUCAGUGGGGGAUAACGUAGCGAAAGUUACGCUAAUACCGCAUAUUCUGUGAGCAGGAAAGCAGGGGAUCGCAAGACCUUGCGCUGAUUGAGCGGCCGAUGUCAGAUUAGCUAGUUGGUGAGGUAAAGGCUCACCAAGGCGACGAUCUGUAGCGGGUCUGAGAGGAUGAUCCGCCACACUGGAACUGAGACACGGUCCAGACUCCUACGGGAGGCAGCAGUGGGGAAUUUUGGACAAUGGGGGCAACCCUGAUCCAGCCAUGCCGCGUGAGUGAAGAAGGCCUUCGGGUUGUAAAGCUCUUUCGGCCGGGAAGAAAUCGCAUGGGCUAAUACCCUGUGUGGAUGACGGUACCGGAAUAAGAAGCACCGGCUAACUACGUGCCAGCCGCCGCCGUAAGAC